AAAGUACUCUACCUCUGCCUAUCGUAAUCUAGUCGUUUUCAUCUCUCUCGUAUAUGAAUACUCUCUAAUUUGUCGUUUACGUGUUUUACAGUGAUAAAAUGAUAGUUGAACUUUAAACUUAUUGCGCAAUCAUCAUAAGACAUAAGGAAAUGAUUUAUUCGUUGAUAUUGCUGCAACUUCACUGUUUUAUUUAACGUUUAGUGGUGUAAAGGAUCAAAAGAGUCCAUUUAUACCAUGAGUUACCAAGCACCUGCAGGCUCAUACCAACAAAAUCCCCCACCUUACGGACCGAACCCCCCACCGGCAGGGGCAUACCCUGGACCACCAGCAGGGGCAUACCCUGGACCACCAGCAGGGGCAUACCCUGGACCACCAGCAGGGGGAUAUAAUGGAUAUAAUGGACCCCAAGCAGGGGGAUAUCCCCCAUACCAACAGCAACCAACAUACCAACAACAGCCCACUACAGUAUAUGUUUACGAAGGUAAAACUCAACAGCAGCGAGACCAAGAAACGGCAGAAGAUUGUUGCCUGGCAGCAGGUUGCUUUGCGCUGCUUUGUUGUUGCCUUAUGAACAACUAAAUAUAUACUUCUGAUACCUAAAGCCGUCUGAAUAUUACUGUGAUGAAGGAUCUGGAUUUAAUAAUCUGGAUUUAUUGGCAACAUUUCCUGUGUAUGCACGGUGUUGGAAAAAGAUACUCGAAGUUCAUUUCCUUGGGCCCCUAUAGCCUUUUUUUUUUUGGUCACGUGAUUGUUAAAAAAGAUGUGUUUGUGUGAUUGGUUUUAUAUGUCGUGUGAUUGCAUUCUCCUUCUGCAUCUAGUAUUGUUACUUCCACUUAUAGAAUAUCUUUGUCAUUAUUUUUGUUUUGUUUCUAGUUUCUUACGUCCAAACUAAAUUUUAUAAGAGUCGUUAUUUUUUCGUAUGUUUGUACGUUUCACCAUAUUUUUUGUUGUUUGAAUAAAAUGAUGGAAUUGAAAUUAUUUUGACUUGAGUAUUAUCAUAUUCACUUUCCUUUGUAUAAUUGUCACACAUGUAAAGCAUUGAAAAAUACCUGACCGUUGCUUGGAUGCCGACCAGGUGUCAAAUCGGUUGAUUAAGAGGGCUGGAUGUCAUGGCCAUUUAUAGACUUUAUAAAUCUCCCUAAAAAGAAGAACUCAAAUUUUAAAGUUGUAAUAAAUUAAAAUGUUCUUUACUUUAUGUGUAUAUCUGAUAGUUAAUUUGAUGACCAUCUAGCCUAAUUAAAGCAUCUUGGACCACUAUCAUAAAAAAUUAUUUCAUGUGAUGUAGAAAAUUAAUCAUUCAAAAUGGUGCAGUAUGGUUACUCAUUUCUAGUAAGACUCGGGUUAAAUAUUAAUUUCUUUCUUUGGUGGUUUAUGCAAGUACGGAAAAUAGAAUGAAUUGCAUAAUGCGUUACAUGCGGUUUUUUUUGUUAUUGUUUGUUUUGUUUAUGCAAUGAUUGCCACAUUUCUAGCAAGAACAAACUAACAAUAGAUAUAUCUGGGUUUCUGUGAAUCUUUUUUUCAAAUUGUCGAAUAAAUGUACCUAGUCAUUAUUGAUAAUAAUACAUUACAGAAGAAAUAGCCAGUUCAUUCAAAUAUGGAAGUUUUUUUGCAUAUUAUUUGGACGUCAAGUUCAUGCAUUCUCUGUGUUGUUCAAUGUACAUGUAGCUUAUCAAUCACGGAAAAAGCCAUGCCUAUUAUACUUCUGAAAUAUGCAAACGUAAUUAUUUAACAACGUUAUUUAUAAACAUACACUCAAUAACUAUUGACUUAAUGCAAAAU
rnacentral:sRNA from 1 species